AGAGCAGUAGAACACUUUUUAACUAAAUGUAAUGAUUUUUUACCGAAGCAGGUUGAAUAUAUAUUAGAAGGAAUAGGAUUGAUAUUAAAAAAUAAUUUUUUUUGGUACAAUGAUAACUAUUUUUUACAAAUCAAUGGGACGGCCAUGGGGACCAAGUUUGUCCCCAGUUACGCCUACUUGUUCAUGGCCUUUUGGGAAGAUCAUUUUGUAUAUGAAGGUCAUGACUGGGGGGAGAAC